rnacentral:rRNA from 1 species
AUUGAACGCUGGCGGCAGGCCUAAUACAUGCAAGUCGAGCGAGGGGCGUACGGGUGUAUCCUGUCUGGGAACCUGCUCGAUGGCUGGGGAUAAUUCCUGGAAACGGUACCAAAUACCGCAUACCAUCCGCUGUUCCCAGCUGGGAUUAGCUAGUAGGUGGGGUAAAGGCUCACCUAGGCGAAGAUCCCUAGCUGGUCUGCGAGGAUGACCAGCCACACUGGAACUGAGACACGGUCCAGACUCCGACGGGAGGCAGCAGUGGGGAAUAUUGCAAAAGGGGCGAAAGCCUGAUGCAGCCAUGCCGCGUGUGUGAUGAAGGCCUUCGGGUCGUAAAGUAAUUUCAGUAGGGAGGCGUUACCGCCACAAAAAGCACCGGCUAACCACGUGCCAGCAGCCGCGGUAAUUC